GUGGGGAAUAUUGGACAAUGGGCGAAAGCCUGAUCCAGCCAUGCCGCGUGUGUGAAGAAGGUCUUCGGAUUGUAAAGCACUUUAAGUUGGGAGGAAGGGCAGUAAGUUAAUACCUUGCUGUUUUGACGUUACCGACAGAAUAAGCACCGGCUAACUUCGUGCCAGCAGCCGCGGUAAUACGAAGGGUGCAAGCGUUAAUCGGAAUUACUGGGCGUAAAGCGCGCGUAGGUGGUUCAGCAAGUUGGAGGUGAAAUCCCCGGGCUCAACCUGGGAACUGCCUCCAAAACUACUGGGCUAGAGUACGGUAGAGGGUAGUGGAAUUUCCUGUGUAGCGGUGAAAUGCGUAGAUAUAGGAAGGAACACCAGUGGCGAAGGCGACUACCUGGACUGAUACUGACACUGAGGUGCGAAAGCGUGGGGAGCAAACAGGAUUAGAAACCCCGGUAGUCC
rnacentral:rRNA from 1 species